UACGUAGGGUGCAAGCGUUGUCCGGAAUUAUUGGGCGUAAAGAGCUCGUAGGCGGUUUGUCGCGUCUGCUGUGAAAACUCGGGGCUCAACUCCGAGCUUGCAGUGGGUACGGGCAGACUAGAGUGCGGUAGGGGAGACUGGAAUUCCUGGUGUAGCGGUGAAAUGCGCAGAUAUCAGGAGGAACACCGGUGGCGAAGGCGGGCUACUGGGCCGAUACUGACGCUGAUGCGCGAAAGCCAGGGGAGCAAACGGG
rnacentral:rRNA from 1 species